rnacentral:tRNA from 1 species
GGAGAGGUGGCUGAGUGGUCGAAAGCACCGCACUCGAAAUGCGGCAUACGGGCAACCGUAUCAUGGGUUCGAAUCCCACCCUCUCCGCCA